rnacentral:rRNA from 1 species
UUGAACGCUGGCGGCAUGCCUUACACAUGCAAGUCGCACGGUAACGGGCCUUCGGGUGCCGACGAGUGGCGAACGGGUGAGUAAUACAUCGGAACGUGCCCGAUCGUGGGGGAUAACGAGGCGAAAGCUUUGCUAAUACCGCAUACGAUCUACGGAUGAAAGCAGGGGACCGCAAGGCCUUGCGCGGACGGAGCGGCCGAUGGCAGAUUAGGUAGUUGGUGGGAUAAAAGCUUACCAAGCCGACGAUCUGUAGCUGGUCUGAGAGGAUGAUCAGCCACACUGGGACUGAGACACGGCCCAGACUCCUACGGGAGGCAGCAGUGGGGAAUUUUGGACAAUGGGCGCAAGCCUGAUCCAGCCAUGCCGCGUGCAGGAUGAAGGCCUUCGGGCUGUAAACUGCUUUUGUACGGAACGAAAAGCCUUCUUUUAAUACAGGAGGGUCAUGACGGUACCGUAAGAAUAAGCACCGGCUAACUACGUG